rnacentral:misc_RNA from 1 species
AAGACUAUAGACCUGCGGAGUACCUGCGGAAGGAUCAUUACCGAGUACCGGGGCCUUCGGGUUCCUACUCCCACCCUAUGUUGACUUUAAAUGUUGCUUUGGCGGACCGGUGGUCUCACCGCUGGCCUAGGCUGGAGAGCGUCCGCCAGAGGAUUUUAAACUCUGUUUAACGGUGAAUUCUGAGUCUUGAUAAAUUGAAUCAAAACUUUCAACAAUGGAUCUCUAGAUCGGAAGAGCACA